CCCAUUCUACAUGUCAAUACAGACAACAAUAAUGCAAUUUAUAGUACGAGGAAAAUCCGUCGACUUUAGAAAUCGUGAGGGUUCAAGUCCCUCUAUCCCC
rnacentral:tRNA from 1 species